GGGAUGGGGGUGGGAGUCUGCUCCAUGCUUUGGGCAGCUCUCAGGUGGAGUCUCUCUCCCUCUAAGACCGCAGCCUGGGAAGGUUGGAGCUCAAACGAGCACCUGUUGAGUUGCCGUGAGCUGCUUGGAUGUUGCCUCUGCCACCUGCCAGCCUCCCUGAUGGACAGAGUCCCCUCUCGGCUUGGACAGGAACGAGGUGACCAAUGGUCGGUGGCUCCGUAGUCCCACCCCACAGCUGGCUUCUCUGAGCCCUGCACAGUGGCAUCUCCAGGACACCUGCUGCCUCCAUCUAUUGGCAGAGCCGACAGCCCGCGGAGCAGGAAGAGUGGGGAUGGAGGUAAAGACGGUUCCUGUUUCCACAACAGAGUCUCCACGCUGCCUCCCACUUUCAAACCAGAAACUCUCGAGUAGACAGAGAUGCCUUGUGAUCCAA
rnacentral:lncRNA from 1 species